rnacentral:misc_RNA from 1 species
AGAUAGCUGCAAACGGAAGGGGUUAUGUGAAUGCGUUGCAAGAUGGAAGCUCUUGGGAAAUGGAAGCUCAGUUUGAUUUCUCACCAGGAUGCAAUUGGCUCCAUUUGCAUUAUCUUUGUGGCUGCUGCAACCACGAAAUUACAUUCGCCACCACCCUUUUGCUCUGGUUGCUUUCAUUGGAAACUUUACGGAUUGCCAUGGUGUUUUCUCUGACCAGCAUGAAUUGUUACUGCAUUUGCUAUGUAGAACAUCCUCUUCAAGACAGGUUUCAAGUAUCCAACUCGCGAGAACGAAAAUGGCCUUUCCCCAUAAUGAAGUGGAGCUGAGCAUAGUAGGAGCUGCAACUAGCUAUGUGAAUAAUGUUCGGAAUACUAUAACUGCACUAGUUCUUUUUCUUGUUCAACUGCAUUCAAGUUUCUUUGAGGACAUGAAAUGAAUCAUAUUUUACAGCAUCUAUGACUGCAAUGGGAGGAGGGACUUGUAUGUAUUUUAUGAAGACUGAUGAAGGGGUUAUAGUAGCCACACAUGUUUGCUAAUGCCAGGGGAACUACAAAAGGACCAAUGCAUGGCCACCCCGAUUGAUACUUGGCAGAACAGCCUCCGUGUGUUUUUGAAUGCCUAAAUUCACAACCAACCAAGAUGAAUUGUGUAAAAUAUAUAAUAAAUUGCAUAUACUGAAAUUAGCCAUUGGAAGUCAUUUAAUAGUUUUUUGACCUUCAAAUGUUAUGUCAUUUCGUUUGAUACGCUGAAAUACUUGGGAGCUGUUAUCCUAUUAGCAUUUU